rnacentral:rRNA from 1 species
AUACGUAGGGUGCAAGCGUUAAUCGGAAUUACUGGGCGUAAAGCGUGCGCAGGCGGUUCGGAAAGAAAGAUGUGAAAUCCCAGGGCUUAACCUUGGAACUGCAUUUUUAACUGUCGACCUCGAGUAUGUCAGAGGGGGGUAGAAUUCCACGUGUAGCAGUGAAAUGCGUAGAGAUGUGGAGGAAUACCGAUGGCGAAGGCAGCCCCCUGGGAUAAUACUGACGCUCAUGCACGAAAGCGUGGGGAGCAAACAGGAUUAGAUACCCUGGUAGUCCACGCCCUAAACGAUGUCAACUAGCUGUUGGGGCCUUCGGGCCUUAGUAGCGCAGCUAACGCGUGAAGUUGACCGCCUGGGGAGUACGGUCGCAAGAUUAAAACUCAAAUGAAUUGACGGGG